AUGGCAAAGGCAUUCUACUUUGUAGUGGCUGCAGUCUUGCUAUGCCCCACCACCCUCUUCUCCGCUGCAUCGUCCACGCCACAUGCAUCUUCUUCAUCAUAUAAGAAGUGCAUUGUGCUCGUUGAGCGACCUCCACAUGCUGAUAUCAUGGACGAUGAUGCACGCAACAGUUGGUAUGAGUCUUUCCUCCCUAGCAACCUAACUGACUCGGGUAAACCACGCAUGGUCACCACUUUCCAUAUGGUAUAUCACGGCUUUGCCGCCUGGUUAACCGAGGCUGAGCUGGACGUCAUGUCCAAAAAGCCCGGCUUUCGCCGCUGGUUCGAAUCUGAAAACAUUGACCCAGGUUGGAGCAAGGAACAUACAACAGGAAGGAUUGGGCUGACCCAGGUUGGGAGGAGUAUACAGCACGAUUGUAUUAUAUGCUCACAAAGGUGGGUUGGAAAAUGGGUUAACCACCAACCAGUUGCAUCUUGCAUGGCCCAUACAUAA
rnacentral:rRNA from 1 species